CUUUUGUGCUUUCCUGAGCUAUCAUUUUUGAGCCAAAGGGAAAUUGAGAUAUUUGGUUAUAUUAGAUGAUACAGGAUAUAUUAGAACAUGUUACUAUUGACACUAAUGUAACAUUUCUAUUCUCCACUUCUGUCACAGCAGAUCCUAAUCGUCCAAUGCAAAUGAAUGAUCAUUUUUAGUGUAGUGUACUGAAAAGCAUUACACAAAAUUAUUGAAAAUCUGUAAGGACUGUAAGGAAGCUUUACAAUUAAAAGAGGGUGCAUUUAUCAGAUAAGUAAAUGUUAAAAAAGAUGGCGAUACAGUGUCAUACAAUGGAAAGUCCAAAAACUAAACAGGGUCAUUGAAAUAAGUAAAUAGUAAAUAUAAUCAUAGUGCAUUUUAUGCAUACACAAUACAAUUAUAUCUAAAAAAAAACCUGUAAAUAAGCCUUAUUACAGAUUUAUGCACUUUAUGUGCCACAGCCCUUACAAAAAUUAACCAUGGUUUUAUUGGUGUAAAGUUGUGGUAACCAUGUUUUUUCUGUGCAUUGAUUCAGCAAAACUAUGGCUUUUAAAUAAUAUUUAAAUAAUAUUAUGUGUAUUUUCGUUGAGACACAUAUAAUAUUGGACUUAAAUGGGGUAAAAUAGGUUCGUAUUAAUUAAUUAAUUUUAUCUGUUUUGUAAUCACGCACUUAUAUAACGUUAUAAAACGUUGAUUUUGACAGAAAGUAUUGGUUUAUAAUGUUAUUUCUCAUUUAAAAACUUUAAAGUUCUCUGAUGUUUCCAUGGUGACUCGUGAAAUCUGUGAUCCAUUGAGAAUGCCUUUAUGUUGUUGCUGUGAGUGCGCAUUAACUCUGAGUUACUUUCAGCGGGUUGAUUGAACUAACUCUUAAACUGUGUUUUGGAACCAACAUACCCAGAGUAAGCAAGUUUGGGGUUGAUCAACUCAAAGUUCAGGGUUAAUCUAAUGGUAAGUUAACCCUGCUUUCUGGAAUACACCCCAGGACUUUUUUGAAAUAAAAGCUCACAGAAACAAAAUUUUUUGGAGUAUCAUUCUCAAAUUUGAAUCACAGCAUGGUCAGACACUCAGUUCACCUAUAUGGUGUCCCCAGGUGUCUUACAUGACCAUUUCAUACCUUUUUUGCUAAGUGAAUGUUAUUUAAAGAAAAACGGAAGUCAUUUAAUGUAAAUUUUACCUUGUUUUACUCUGUUUCUUUACUACUCUGGGAUGACUAUUAGGCAACAAUAUGUCAAGCGUCUAGUUUCAAACAAGACCAGAAUUAUGAAUAUAGACCAUAGGGUUUAAGAGCUGCAGAUGUUUUAGUUUGGAGUUGUCGUUUUUCAGAAAAAGCUCAAAAAUAGAAGUGCUAGCUAACAUACAGGGGCGGACUGGCCAUCGGGAGUUCCGGGAGCAAUCCCGAACGGCCGGUCCAUUUCAGGCCGAACCGGCCGGAGUUCAAAAAGUUUUUUUUUUAAUUCCUGACCAGGCGCUCAGCUGCAGCGGAACGCUGUGUCUGUUUCAGACCAGGCCAAACCAAUUCUUCAAAUCUUGAGGGGAGAUAAGAGCGGCCCCUCCCAACUUGGACUGAUCCUCGUUUUUCCUCACAUCCGAUUGGCUUAAAGGCGCCGAUCAAAAGAGUUUACUUUUGGUCAGGUUUGGAUUCGUGUGAAUGCAACAUAGACAAGACGGUAAAAAUUGCGAAAACAAGAAAAGAAGAGAAAGAAAUGGGUGGGGCCUAAAAAAUAAAAAUGUUUGCACAAGAGGCAGCUAAAUGCGCCAAAUUAACAGACCUUUUUCGCAGUCAAAAGGACGCUGUGGCAGGAGGUGCAGAUGAGGAAGGACCAGCAGCAUGGACAGGACAGGUGCACAAUUAGUGAUGCAUCUAUUAUACACUGAAAUCAUUUAUAUUUGCAUUUAAAUAUAGGCAUAUAUAAGGGAUAAUGUAGAGCGAGGCGGUUGUUAGCGAAUACAACCCCGACAUCAGGACCCCACGCAAAGCGGAGCUUGAAUCAGCCUUACGGGGUUGUAUUCGCUAUAAUAAGAACCGCCUCGCUCUACAUUAUCCCGCUUAUGAAAUUGAUGAAAUAGCCUGCGUGCGCAUUUUGGCAACAGAAGUGGUGUUGUGGUGUUGUUUUAACGUGUUAGCAACUCAGUAAGUUUAUCAAAACAGUUUCCCAGCAUCAAAAUGUCUGGUAAUUGCGUUUGGUUGCACUAAUAAUAUACUAAUAUACGUAUAUAUGGUCACUUUAUAUUUGGCCAUCUGCUAACGUCUUCUAUUCACUUCACUAUAGUACACGGAUCUGGUAGCUGUGUUGAAAAACUUGAUAAAGUCAACUUUUAAAUAUAUAUUUCUCUGUCUGUGUUGCUUCACUUCUGAUUCUUGCCAUACUUCCAUUGCCAACAUGCGCGUGCAUACGUUUCCACGUCAUCAUUGUGUUCAAACAGUAAAAUGGUCUGUUGGAAUCCCUGGCUGUUUCUCAAUUCCAAGAACGCAAAGAACGGACUUGCGUCCUCGUGGAGAUCGGUCUUGCCAGGCGACCUUGGAAGAACGAACUCGGAAGUUUUGCCGCAAUGACUUCUGGGGCGUUAAGCGAUUUCAGCAAGUCUGCACUCGAUGCAUCCUCGAUAUCAAGAACACAUCCGGGUAUUUUCAUGCGUCCUCUGUCCUUGCGUUCUUGAGAAUUGGAAUGAACUUCGACCGUUAAUGAUGACGUAGAGCCAGGACAUGAGGACGCAAGAUCGCUGAAGAACGCAUAUUGAGAAACAGCCCCUGUAUGUCUGUAUAUUAGCUGUUAAGGUCACUGAUGGAGAGAGACAGGUUGAUGAUGACUCUUGCAGUCAUAUUGAUGAGGAGGAGGAAGGAAAGCAGAACAAAAGGAGGAGGAGAAUGGAACCAGUACAAAAACAGUGAUGGGUCAGUGUGCAGGGCUGGGUAGGCAAUCAUAUUACCCUGCUGGAAAAACCAGCAUACCAGCAAGACCAGCAUAUGUUGUGGUGCUGGUAUGCUGGUGACCACCAGCUAAACCAGCAUAAAACCAGCAUAGACCAGCAUAAUUCCCAUGCUGGUUUGAUGCUGUUUUUUUCAGCAGGGUAGGCAUAUCAAUCAAUCAAUCAAAGCUUUAUUAAGGACACACAAAUAGAAAAAUACAGCACAAUAUUACAUAUUUACAUAUAGGAUAAAAUGCAAUAGUUCCACUUACUAGAUUAUAACCUGACUAAAGCACAGAUUGAAUUAAAAUAAGGAAUUAUUCUUAGCCAUAUUUUUUACUGAUGUUCUUCUCAUGCAUAUGUAGCUGUACAAUCAGUAAGCAGAGGCAGGGUUCCCCUGGCUCCAGGGGAAGUGGAGCCAGGGAGAGUUGAAAGUGAGUACGUACACACACAAUCUCUAUUUUAUGGGACUGUAUUGUAGUUUUUGAUUAUCUGAGUGGGUAUGUGUAAUUGUAACAAUUUUAUCACUCCAACUGACUGUACACAUGACAUGCUGGUAGUUAGCAGUAUACUGUGACUUAUGUGUUCGAGAUUAGGUUUUGCUGACCUGGUUGUGUUUAGUGCAGUGGUGACUUGCUUAAACAACCUGAGGAGGCAGGUGUUAUCCUAAAGUUUCUUUAAGGUCUUCAGCAUAAUCUGAUUCUCUUCAAGUUCAUACCAUAAAAACACUACUAGAAUUAAAAUAACUGCAAAAAAUCCUGCUCGUGCGCCAAGGGCACUCGCGUAAAAGGCCUCUCCAUCUUAAAGUCCCGGGCUGAAUUUCAGUCCCAGUACGUCCCUGCUAACAUAUAUAUAUAUAUAUAUAUAUAUAUAUAUAUAUUUAUAUUUAUAUUUAUAUUUAUUUAUUUGUUUACUUCUCAUCUAUAAAGCUGUGUUUUGAGAGAUUCAAAGUACUUUUGUACCAAUUUACCACAAAAAUCCUCAACUACACUAUUAGCUUGCAUGUGAAAUAUAGAUUUGUAUGAAAAAUCACUUAAAUGAUAUAUAAAUCUAAUUUAAAUUGUUUCUGGAUAUUGAUCUUCAACCUUUGUUUAGAAAUAAACCUAAAGGAAUCACCAUUUAAGAAAGAAAUAGCUUUCACCAGCAGAGGGCCAUAGAAAGCUAUUCAUUUUACUGGAUAUGGCCAACUGCUCACAUUACUACUUUAGUGAUACAUUUUGUGAAUUCAUGUAUGAACAUUAGAAAGUGCAUUAAAAAUAAAUAUUGUUUCAAAUA